rnacentral:rRNA from 1 species
GAUGAACGCUGGCGGCGUGCCUAAUACAUGCAAGUCGAGCGAACAGACGAGGAGCUUGCUCCUCUGACGUUAGCGGCGGACGGGUGAGUAACACGUGGAUAACCUACCUAUAAGACUGGGAUAACUUCGGGAAACCGGAGCUAAUACCGGAUAAUAUAUUGAACCGCAUGGUUCAAUAGUGAAAGACGGUUUUGCUGUCACUUAUAGAUGGAUCCGCGCCGCAUUAGCUAGUUGGUAAGGUAACGGCUUACCAAGGCAACGAUGCGUAGCCGACCUGAGAGGGUGAUCGGCCACACUGGAACUGAGACACGGUCCAGACUCCUACGGGAGGCAGCAGUAGGGAAUCUUCCGCAAUGGGCGAGAGCCUGACGGAGCAACGCCGCGUGAGUGAUGAAGGUCUUCGGAUCGUAAAACUCUGUUAUUAGGGAAGAACAAAUGUGUAAGUAACUAUGCACGUCUUGACGGUACCUAAGCAGAAAGCCACGGCUAACUACGU